GUUAAAUGGCCGCAGUAUUUUGACUGUGCGAAGGUAGCAUAAUAAUUAGUUUUUUAAUUGAAAGCUGGAAUGAAUGAUUGGACGAGAAAAAAUCUGUCUCAAUUUUAUUUAAUUAGAAUUUUAUUUUUAAGUAAAAAAGCUUAAAUAUUUUUAAAAGACGAGAAGACCCUAUAGAGUUUUAUAUAUUUAUUUUUUAUUUAUUUUUUAGUAUUGUAGAAUUUAUAUGAUUAAAUAGUAUUUAGUUGGGGUGACUAAAAAAUUAAUUAAACUUUUUUUUUAUUAUUACAUUAAUAUAUGAUUAAUUGAUCCAUUUUUUAUGAUUAUAAGAUUAAAUUACCUUAGGGAUAACAGCGUUAUUUUUUUUUAGAGUUCUUAUCGAAAAAAAAGUUUGCGACCUCGAUGUUGGAUUAAAAUUAAUAUUUGGUGAAGAAGCUAAGUUAUUAGGUCUGUUCGACCUUUGAAAUUUUACA
rnacentral:rRNA from 8 species